rnacentral:lncRNA from 1 species
AAAGAAAAGAAAAAAAAAAAAAGAAAAUGAAACAGACCAUUCCAGAUGGUGAUCUGCCUUCCCCUGAUUAUCAGAAGGAGCUAUAAUCACUAAAUAAUAAUGGUUACUGGUACCUUUACAAUGAUGUACAAUCCAAUGUUUAAAAUUUAUCCACUUCGGUUUGGUUUGAUCAUAUAAAUUUUCAACAGAUGUCUUAAAAUUUAAAAGCAGGCUGAUUAGUUUGGAACCAGACUUCAAGUAGCGCUAACAUUUGGUGACUAAGACAACUUCAUGUUACAUUUUGGAUGUAUGAAAAGAAAACUUGACCAUUUGAAGAUGUAUGAAUAAAGAAAUAUACUAUAGAUACUACUUUAGGAAAACACUGUUUGCAGAGAGAGAGCAUCACUGCCUGAAUUUGGCUUUGUGACUCUACGAGCAAGCCCGUCCUGUCCUGUCCUGUCUGGAGAUGACUGUUAACAUCCUGUCAUUUGGUUUGCCCUUUAUCAAUCUGAAUAGCUGUUUACUUGUACUGUGAUGACCAUUUUAUCUUUACAGUUCUGUACAAGUACAUCUGAGUCCAGAAGUGUACCAAGUGUGUGAUAUUUAUGACCUUACUCAUAGAUGUUUUCUCCCCUUUAUAGCAAUUUAACUUGUAAAACACCUUAAGAAGGAGCAAAGGCCUUUUAGCUUCCUUAUGAGAUGUAUUAUGUCUCAGGCAAACUGAGAAAUGUGUCUGUGAAAUCUAUAAAGCCAUGAGAGCAUUAAUUGAACAGUUUAGAAUGAAGAAAAUGAAUUAAAAAGUUAAACAUAAGUUUGGCUUUAAUUUUUUUUUAUUUUUAGGAUGUAUUUAUUGAAUUAGGAUAGCCACUGAAAAUAAUUUUGAACAGAGUGUAAAGUUCUUUUUACAUACUGUAAUUAGUUAUGUAUUUCUUGUGAGCAUCUUAAUUGAGGGGAUUGCCAGGACCAUUUUACUCCAGUGCAUUUUUUGUCAUUCUUAACUCCCAAAAACGAAGAAAAUAUUUUAUUUCUUUUCAAAUAAUAAAUGAUAACCUAUGGGUUCUAAAACUGAACA